AACUUUUGACAACGGAUCUCUAGGUUCUCGCAUCGAUGAAGAACGCAGCGAAAUGCGAUAAGUAGUGUGAAUUGCAGAUUUCAGUGAAUCAUCGAAUCUUUGAACGCACAUUGCGCCCUUUGGUAUUCCGAAGGGCAUGCCUGUCUGAGCGUCAAUAAAUCAAUCAAACUUUAGUUUGGUAUUGGGAGAAGUGGUUUUGCCUCUCUCCUUUAAGCUAUUGGCGACGCUAUUUCAGCUUGUAAGACGUAGUAAGUAAUUCCUCGUCAAAGCAACUGAGUGGUUGUCUGCCAACUGAACGAUUUAUUUUACAGCUUGACCUCAGAUCAGGUAGGGAUACCCCCUGAACUUAAGCAUAUCAAUAAGCGGAGGCU
rnacentral:misc_RNA from 1 species